rnacentral:rRNA from 1 species
UACGUAGGGUGCAGGCGUUAAUCGGAAUUACUGGGCGUAAAGCGUGCGCAGGCGGUUAUGUAAGACAGUUGUGAAAUCCCCGGGCUCAACCUGGGAACUGCAUCUGUGACUGCAUAGCUAGAGUACGGUAGAGGGGGAUGGAAUUCCGCGUGUAGCAGUGAAAUGCGUAGAUAUGCGGAGGAACACCGAUGGCGAAGGCAAUCCCCUGGACCUGUACUGACGCUCAUGCACGAAAGCGUGGGGAGCAAACAGG